AGACCCGAAACCCGGUGAUCUAGCCAUGGGCAGGUUGAAGGUUGGGUAACACUAACUGGAGGACCGAACCGACUAAUGUUGAAAAAUUAGCGGAUGACCUGUGGCUGGGGGUGAAAGGCCAAUCAAACCGGGAGAUAGCUGGUUCUCCCCGAAAGCUAUUUAGGUAGCGCCUCGUGAAUUCAUCUCCGGGGGUAGAGCACUGUUUCGGCUAGGGGGCCAUCCCGGCUUACCAACCCGAUGCAAACUGCGAAUACCGGAGAAUGUUAUCACGGGAGACACACGGCGGGUGCUAACGUCCGUCGUGAAGAGGGAAACAACCCAGACCGCCAGCUAAGGUCCCAAAGUCAUGGUUAAGUGGGAAACGAUGUGGGAAGGCCCAGACAGCCAGGAUGUUGGCUUAGAAGCAGCCAUCAUUUAAAGAAAGCGUAAUAGCUCACUGGUCGAGUCGGCCUGCGCGGAAGAUGUAACGGGGCUAAACCAUGCACCGAAGCUGCGGCAGCGACACUCAGGUGUUGUUGGGUAGGGGAGCGUUCUGUAAGCCUGUGAAGGUGGCCUGUGAGGGUUGCUGGAGGUAUCAGAAGUGCGAAUGCUGACAUAAGUAACGAUAAAGCGGGUGAAAAGCCCGCUCGCCGGAAGACCAAGGGUUCCUGUCCAACGUUAAUCGGGGCAGGGUGAGUCGACCCCUAAGGCGAGGCCGAAAGGCGUAGUCGAUGGGAAACGGGUUAAUAUUCCCGUACUUGGUGUUACUGCGAAGGGGGGACGGAGAAGGCUAUGUUGGCCGGGCGACGGUUGUCCCGGUUUAAGCGUGUAGGUGUGUGUUCCAGGUAAAUCCGGUUCACUUUAACACUGAGGCGUGAUGACGAGGCACUACGGUGCUGAAGCAACAAAUGCCCUGCUUCCAGGAAAAGCCUCUAAGCAUCAGGUAACAUCAAAUCGUACCCCAAACCGACACAGGUGGUCAGGUAGAGAAUACCAAGGCGCUUGAGAGAACUCGGGUGAAGGAACUAGGCAAAAUGGUGCCGUAACUUCGGGAGAAGGCACGCUGACACGUAGGUGAAGUGAUUUACUCAUGGAGCUGAAGUCAGUCGAAGAUACCAGCUGGCUGCAACUGUUUAUUAAAAACACAGCACUGUGCAAACACGAAAGUGGACGUAUACGGUGUGACGCCUGCCCGGUGCCGGAAGGUUAAUUGAUGGGGUCAGCGCAAGCGAAGCUCCUGAUCGAAGCCCCGGUAAACGGCGGCCGUAACUAUAACGGUCCUAAGGUAGCGAAAUUCCUUGUCGGGUAAGUUCCGACCUGCACGAAUGGCGUAAUGAUGGCCAGGCUGUCUCCACCCGAGACUCAGUGAAAUUGAACUCGCUGUGAAGAUGCAGUGUACCCGCGGCAAGACGGAAAGACCCCGUGAACCUUUACUAUAGCUUGACACUGAACAUUGAGCCUUGAUGUGUAGGAUAGGUGGGAGGCUUUGAAGUGUGGACGCCAGUCUGCAUGGAGCCGACCUUGAAAUACCACCCUUUAAUGUUUGAUGUUCUAACGUGGACCCGUAAUCCGGGUUGCGGACAGUGUCUGGUGGGUAGUUUG
rnacentral:rRNA from 1 species